CAAAAGCCCCUGAAUUCUCAAACGAAUCCGCAAUUAAAUAUUCUGCCCAUGCGGGGAAGGAUGAGAAGCUUCGACCAAGGUUCGACUCGAGGCCAGCGAGAGAGCGUUGCCGCAGGCAACGACCCGUAGGGCGAAGCGCGCAGCGCUGAGUAAUCCUUCCCCCACCACCA
rnacentral:ncRNA from 4 species